UACAGAGGGGGCAAGCGUUGUUCGGAAUUACUGGGCGUAAAGGGCGCGUAGGCGGCCUGCUAAGUCGAACGUGAAAUCCCCGAGCUCAACUCGGGAACUGCGUCCGAUACUGGCAGGCUUGAAUCCGGGAGAGGGAUGCGGAAUUCCAGGUGUAGCGGUGAAAUGCGCAGAUAUCUGGAGGAACACCGGUGGCGAAGGCGGCAUCCUGGACCGGCAUUGACGCUGAGGCGCGAAAGCCAGGGGAGCAAACGGG
rnacentral:rRNA from 1 species